CCACCUUAUUUAUUGGAAAGUAUCGGUAUUGAUAUCGGCGAUACUGGCCCGCAUUUACUUGGUAUCGGAUCGAUACCAAAAUAUGCAGUAUCGCACACCACUAGCGAACGAAGGACUGAAAUCUGGUCACUUUUUAUACAAAUGAGCUGUGACGCACCGGAAACGGAAGUAGUGUUUCCCCCCAUUCGUUCUUUUAUUUUCUUUCCAGUCCGGCUCCGCUCUGCCAGAGUUUUAAAUACAGGAGAAUGGAAUACAAGCUGAUCAUGGCGGUCUCUGGCUUCCCGAGUCUCUACGACAUGAACUCCCCGACCUAUCGGGACCUGAACAUGCGGAGCGACGCGUGGCGGCAGGUGGCGGAGAUCGUCGGAGUCCCCGAGUCGGAGUGCAGAAGGAAGUGGAAGACACUGAGAGACCAGCACAGGAGGGAGAGGCAGCGUGAGAAGGAGCGGCGCGAGAGCGGCAUCGGGCUCUUUAACUACCGGCCAUGGAGAUACUCGUCCAUCCUGUCGUUCCUUAAUCCAUUCAUCGAUGCCCGGGCAGCCGGUACCAACGGCUGGGCCCUGGACCCACAGCCCUCUCAGGUCCAGGUGGCCGAAAUGGUCGGCUGCAGCACGACCACGGAGACGCGGAGCGACGACGACGAGAGCUACGGGUUCGCCGUAGCUGACGCGACCACGACGACAUCCUCGUCCUCAUCCUCAGAGUUCCCGCAGAGGAAGCGGCUACCCUCUGUCGGCUUGGACCCGUCCAGGCCCAAAGAAGCAAAGGUUGAGGUGAACUCAGGCGCCACAGAGACUGACGACGGCCUGCAGACGCAGCAGCACGCCAACAUGAAGGAGCUGUUUGAGAUGAUGAUGCACUCGGUGACAUCUCUUGCUACGACCUUAGCUUCGUCACGCUCUUCCUCGCAGACCCCUCUUCUGCAACAGGAUCCGCAGAGUCAUCAUCGCAGCCCGCCGCUGUCCUGGACCGUGGCGCGGCUGAACCAGCUGAAGACAGAGGAGCCGGAAGGCGACGUGGACGAGCUGCUCGUCCAAACGGACGAUGAGGAGGAGGUGGAGGAAGAGCGCCGCCCCGCUUCUCCCAGGCCGCUCUGGCCAAAGAGGAAGAGCGUCGACGGCCUGCUGGAGGAAUUCCUGACGAAGACAGAAGCCAGGGAUGCGCAGAGGGAGCGUGACAUGGAGCAGAGGGACGACGUGACGCUGUUCCUGCUGAGCCUGGCUCCGGCUAUGAGGAGACUGACAGCAGAGAAACAGUCAUGGGUCCGAACCAAGAUGCAGCAGUUUCUGCACGAGGCCGAGUUUGGCGCCACAAAGUUCCAGUGAGCCCACGAACGUUUUGAUGGAAGCUCAUUCAAAGGGGAAGGACUGAAUCCUCCCUGUAGACUCCACACGUGCCGACUCUUCUUACAGGUGAUUCAGGUAGCUCCAGAUUUGAUGGUCUGUCCCUGACCAAUGACUCCAGAUACUGGGUUUCUGUUUUCAUCGAUGACUAAACGGAUGUCUGCACAAAGCAGGACUUCGGGCACAUCGGGGUCACUGCAGGGUUAGCGCCACGCUUCAGUGUUGAUGUCUGAUUACUUAAUGGGAACUUAAACUUCUGCACAGAGGACUCUGUGCACGUGCACAUCCGUGUUCAGCAGCAGGAGACUUUCUAAAGUUUAGAUUUCUCACAAGAAUCUGUCCAGAAACAGUUUUUCCACGACCGACUUUAUUCCUGCAAGAAGGCCGUCUGCAGAUGUAAAACCGCUUCAUCGGCUUGUAACUGUCAAAGUGGUGAUUUGAUACUAAAGUGUCUAAAAUUUGAACCUUUGUAGAUGAAGCCUACAUCUGAAUACAGAGUAUUUAUUCUGUCGUCUUACUCAGACGGUCAAACAGCGCAGCCGAGGACAGUAAGCAGACGCCUGUUCUCUGACUGUCUGCGUUUGUCCAGCCGUCAGUUGAUCACAGAGCUAAGAUGAGUCUGUGAUCGAGCACCGUCAGCGUUCAUACUCACUAAAGCAUUCAGAGCACACACUUUAAUACUUCACUACUGUACGUGCUGUACACACACACACAGACAGACAUGAACGGGUGCAGCUUGUAUCAUGUGUUUAAUAAGCUGCAGGCUCCGCCUCCUUCAUGUGUCCAUGUAGCCUGAAUCCUGAUGCAAGCAGGUAAAGUGAUAAAGAUCUGCUGUUAAGAUCUUUGUAGCAAAUUAAUUACUGUUGUUAAGUUUGUGGUCCAAAAGUGUCACACGCUACGUCAGGGCAGGUGGUGCACUCCAGCACUGCAGACACACUUUUCCUCCUCUUCUCUGUCCCCGACCAAAAUACUUCUUUAUCUGACGUGAACAAGGAUCUUUUAUGACUUUUGAAUGAUGCGAAGCUCAAACAGAGACGUGUUGGUUCGUGUUCCUCUGAGAUCAUCUCAGACUGUUAACACCACUCAAUGUAUUUUAUGUACUUUUAUUUUGAAAGGCCGGUCACACUGAGACCAAAGUGUGAUCUUUGCUUUCUCCUCUGAAUCAGGAAUUCAGUGAUGAUCAAUGAAAUUGUAAAUAAUAUUUGUACCUGUUACCGGUAACCAGUUGCAGCUUUCUCCUGGUUUCCAUGGCGACGCAGUAUUUAUGGAGCUGUGGUUGCAAUCACGGUUUCCUCCUGGCUGUGAGAGUGUGAGGCCACAGCGUCUUUGGUUAUGUGUUCUGAGUGCAAUGCUCCAUGUGUGAUGCAGAAAAGCACAUUUUGUAUUACAGAAAAGUUUCUGUCUGUAUUUCUAAACAAUCAUAAGAGCGUGAUUUUUCCCAGAUAGCAUUGAACGCUUCAGCAAAGGAUUCCUUUCACUCUGGUUUGUGUUCACUACUCUCCCAUGUUAUUCAGUCCUGAGUUGGAACAUUUUUUAUGUUUCAGAGUCCUGCAGCUGAUUUUAUUUUCUUUGUUUGUCCUGUUUUUGUUUUUUGUUUAAAAACAAACAAACAAACUCUUCUUGCAGUCAUUUGUGUUUUUAUUUUAAAGUGAAUGCUCACAGCUGAGUCAUGCUUAGAGUGAACUUCAUAUGCAAACAUCUGAGCAGACUGCUGCAAAUAUUAUUGCACCACUCAUAAAGUGAGCUUCAGGAGGAGCCGAUUAAAACCUGAUUACUGACUGAAAAGAGCUCUUAGUGUGCUGCUGUGAAUAUUUCACCUUAAUUUGAAGUUUUCAUCCUUGUGCUGUAACACCGAUUCAGCAGGAAACUGCUGCUGCAAGGAUGUUUUCUUACAUAUACAAACUAUCAUUUUCUGUUCUCUGGAAUAACAUGUGGAUUACUGAACGCGCACAGACUCUGAACACAGUUUGAAGUCAGUUUCCAGGAAAUUGCUGUUUUAAAAAUAAAACUAAUCUUUGGUCAUUUCUGAGGAAAUGAAAACUAAUAUUUUAACUGCACGAAGCACAAAAGCAGUGACCAUUACUCCUUC
ensembl:lncRNA